rnacentral:rRNA from 1 species
AUUGAACGCUGGCGGCAGGCUUAACACAUGCAAGUCGAGCGAGCGGCGGACGGGUGAGUAAUGUCGGGAAAACUGCCUGAUGGAGGGGGAUAACUACGGGAAACGGUAGCUAAUACCGCAUACCAUCAGAUGUGCCCAGAUGGGAUUAGCUAGUAGGGGGGGUAAUGGCUCACCUAGGAGACGAUCACUAGCUGGUCUGAGAGGAUGACCAGCCAAACUUGAACGAGGGCACGUUCCAGACCCCUACGGGAGGCAGAAGUGGGGAAUAUUGCACAAUGGGCGCAAGCCUGAGGCAGCCAUGCCGCGGGUGUGAAGAAGGCCUUCGGGUUGUAAAGCACUUUCAGCGAGGAGGAGUUACUCGCAGAAGAAGCACCGGCUAACUCCGUGCCAGCCGCCGCGGUAAUAC